UGCAUCACAGGAAUAAAUUAUAUAUUAAAAUAUGAUUUUAAAAAGUUCUUUUAAAUUGUAAUAGGCCUAAUACUUAAUAUUACUGCUUUUACUGUCUUUUUAAAUCACAAAUGCCGCCAAUUCAAGCUGAAAUGCAUUUGAUAAUCAUGCUGCUGCACAUAGUUUGGGCACUUUCACAAUCUUGGUGUCAUGUUUUACAAGAAAAGAUAACUGUCUGUUGCACUUACAUCUUGGCCAUUUUCUUGUUUGUGGAUUCACAUAAGUGCAAAACUGUUUUCACUGUAGUCUGUUUCUGGUAGAAUUACACAAUACAGGUCCAAAUAAAUUACAUCCAUUGUGAAAGUUCUGGCAGAUAUCCACUCCGAAAGACUCAAUAAGAUGAUGCCUGUAAUUGUGGCAAUUCAUCUAUCUCAGACGACAAAAAAAAAAGUGCUGAAGUGUUUAUCUGUAACUCCAAACCGGCUCUUUCAACACCCGGGUAGCCCGACGCACUGAGUAAAUAUUUUAGCCUUAACAAGGGCUGGCAUGCUAUUUCAUCUGCUUCUCCAGUGAAUACUGAUGUCUUAAUCGUAGGGUUUGGCGAGACACAGGUGGUCAAGGUUCAGUGGUAAGCCUGGGAAAGGGUGGAGAAUCCGUCUUCCAGUGACGCAUGAGGAUUUCUGAUUGGGAUGCAACUCACAUAAGGACCGAAUACAAGACUUCAACACGGACAGAGAAAAGGGAUUUUAACAUGCGGAGGUGAGAUACCUUUCCUCUGCGACGUGCCGCUGAGGUGUGGAUUGGCGUUGCUGCAAAGAGUCCAGUCUACGUCAUUCUUCCGGUGUGGACAGAGGAACCCCGGCCUAGAAAACUGGCUCUGAAAGAAAAAUAAGUCAUUAAGAAGGCCGAUGGAGAAUGAUGGUGGUCCCCGAGGAGUUAUUUCACAGUAUUAAGAUUCAAUAGAAGGAGCCAACAUCUGUGUUUAAGUAUCUGGCCUAAACGGAUGGAAACAAACUGUGCUACUGGAAGAAUAAAGGCAUAGUCUUCACUGUAACACAAAAGACAUUGCACAGACAAGAUGUUAAUGUAAUGUCAAUGAACUCUUCUAAAUAACUCAAUGCAUGACGGCAGAGAAAAUAAAGACGUUUUGGACUGUACUAUUUGUGGAAUGAGCCUUGAGAUUGGAGGCUCGGAGCCAUUUGGCCUGACUUUCUUUGAAGAUGGUUUUGUGGAGGGUUAAACCCAUACUCCUCCCUCUCUCUGAUGCCUGUCGCUCUUUCAUUCUGCCCAGGAAAGGCUGUACGUCACUGUGGGUUCAGAUAUAAAAUAGUCUUUGGCUGUAUCUUGCCAUCUGCGCACUGCUUCUGUAGCACUGGACUGUAAUUCAUGUCAGUGAUGAUAGCAUUUUUAGCUCUUGUCUUGUAACGUGUUGGUGGCGAAGUGUUGGUGUUUAAUCUUGUGGAUAUCCAGGAUUCACAUUGCUGGUGAGAGAAUAGAUUAUUAUUUUAGUGGGUUUUUUUCUUUUCUUUUUUUUUCUUUUAGGAAUAUUUUCUCAAUUUAACUUUUCUAAGGGCCAUUUUGUUAU